rnacentral:rRNA from 1 species
GACGAACGCUAGCGAUAGGCUUAACACAUGCAAGUCGAGGGACCGGCGCACGGGUGCGUCACGCGUAUGCAACUUGCUUCACAGAGGGGGAUAACCCGUCGAAAGACGGUCUAAUACCGCGUACUGUGAGAUAGGCAUGCGGCCCAUUAGCUAGUUGGUGAGGUAAAGGCUAACCAAGGCAACGAUGGGUAGGGGAACUGCGAGGGUGAACACUCACACUGGGACUGAGCCACGGACCAGACUCGUACUGGAGGCAGCAGUGAGGAAUAUUUGUCAGUGGGCGAGAGCCUGAACCAGCCAAGUCGCGUGAAGGAUGUCUGUCUAUGGAUUGUAAACUUCUUUUGUAAGGGAAUAUGUACCCUACGAAUAAGCAUCGGCCAACUCCGUGCCAGCAGCCGCGGUAAUUC